GUCCUAAGAUGGGGCAGGACUUCAGUGAAUUUACAGUGGGUCAAUGUCUUGUCCUCAGAAACACAAACAGCAGAAUGGCUCCAUCUCUGUUGAAGACUUCCAUCAACUAGAACCACGAGGGCUGAUGGACAGACCACAAGGCCAGUUUGUUCCAGUUCAAUGAUUAAAAGAACCACAGAUGACCAGGCACGGUGGCUCACGCCUGUAAUCCCAGCACUUUGGGAGCCCGAGAGACGGAGUUUCACCAUGUUAGCCAGGAUGGUCUCGAUCUCCUGACCUCGUGAUCCGUCCGCCUUGGCCUCCCAAAGUGCUGGGAUUACAGACGUGAGCCACCGCGCCCGGCCAAAACCCUGCUUUUAAUAAAGUGUGAAAUGGUAAAAAUAACCUCUCUUUUUUUUUAAGUUUUCUAUUUGUAUAAAUGUAUAGGGCAAAAGUAUCGUUUUGUUACAUGCAUAGAGUGUGUAGUGGUGAAUUCAGGGCUUUUCGGGAGAACCUCUCUUCUUACACAUCAGUGGAGUACUCACUGAUAACACUACGCUUAAUAGUAAUGUUGCCAUUAUUAGUGUUACGACCCACUGAUAUAGAGACCUAUUUGACAACUAACAGGACUUUCUUAAAAGUCCAAAAAAGGAUCUGCUUUGAUAAUUCUGCUAGGAGAUCCAAGUGGGUGGGUGGAUCUGCUAGCACCACUCCUCAAGUGUUUCAAUGUUCAGUCUGGGGUAGAUCCAAUUAGCAGAGAAGAAUUUUUAUGCAAUGGCUUGGACUAGAGUUUGGAAUUUGGCAGUCAUCACUGGAAAAAUGAAUUUCUGCCUGUUCUGAAUCAAAACAAAACAAGCCAUGUGCAGUACACACCUGUAGUCCCAGCUACUUGGGAAGUGACUUGAGAGGAUCACUUGAGCCCAGGAGUUCCAGUCCAGCCUGAGCAACACAGUGAGACCCUCAUCUCUAAAAAGCAAAUAAAAAUAAAAAACACCAAAACAACCA
rnacentral:lncRNA from 10 species